CCAAUAGCGUAUAUUAAAGUUGUUGCAGUUAAAAAGCUCGUAGUUGAAUUUCGGGGUCAGUAGGUUGGUCAUGCCACCGGUAUGCACUGGUCUCACUGAUUCCUCCUUCCUUAUGAACCGUAAUGCCAUUAAUUUGGUGUUGCGGGGAAUCUGGACUGUUACUUUGAAAAAAUUAGAGUGUUUAAAGCAGGCUAACGCUUGAAUACAUUAGCAUGGAAUAAUGAAAUAGGACGUUCGAUCUUAUUUUGUUGGUUUCUAGGAUUGACGUAAUGAUUAAUAGGGAUAGUUGGGGGCAUUAGUAUUCAAUUGUCAGAGGUGAAAUUCUUGGAUUUAUUGAAGACUAACUACUGCGAAAGCAUUUGCCAAGGAUGUUUUCAUUAAUCAAGAACGAAAGUUAGGGGAUCGAAGACGAUCAGAUACCGUCGUAGUCUUAACCAUAAACUAUGCCGACUAGGGAUCGGAUGAUGUUAAUUUUUUAAUGACUCAUUCGGCGCCUUACG
rnacentral:rRNA from 1 species